AUGGCUUCGCUCAUACUUUUAUUUACAGACCUUCUUUGGAUCCAUGAGAGGGAUGCUACAGCUCUACUAGCAGCGUAUCCUCCAUCUUCUCUUUCUUCUUCUGCAUCUGAUGCUACUGUUGCUCACAGAAAACCGUUGAAAAAUGAAAAAAUAGUGAUUGAUAAUACUCAUUUGGAAUUUGAAUCCAGGGUACGAUGGCUAGCCGACAUGAAAGGCUCCUGA